CCCAUUGACCUCUUCUGUUAUUAUUCAGACAUAUGUUAAGCUCUGCAGCAGGACUGGCUAGAUCAUAUGCAGUGCCCAGUGAAAAUAAAAAUUCAGGGCUUCUUGUUCAAAAAGUAUUAAGAAUUUCAAAACUCACCAGUGGGGCAUUAGCCCAGCAUGGGCCUGGUGCAACUGAUGCCACAUGCCAUGAAGCAGUCCUGCUUUGCAGUCUGAAUCAUGCGUAUGAUCUGAGCUGGGGUUCUUUCUCUCCGUCCC
rnacentral:lncRNA from 1 species